rnacentral:rRNA from 1 species
AUUGAACGCUGGCGGCAGGCUUAACACAUGCAAGUCGAACGAGUGGCGGACGGGUGAGUAAUGCUUGGGAAUAUAGCUUAUGGAGGGGGAUAACUACGGGAAACUGUAGCUAAUAACGCGUACAAUAGGAUGAGCCGAAGUGGGAUUAGGGAGUAGGUGAGGUAAAGGCUCACCAAGCCGACGAUCUCUAGCGGGUCUGAGAGGAUGACCAGCCAACCUGUGACUGAGACACGGCCCAGACUCCUACGGGAGGCAGCAGUGGGGAAUAUUGCACAAUGGGCGCAAGCUGAUGCAGCCAUGCCGCGUGAAUGAAGAAGGCCUUCGGGUUGUAAAGUUCUUUCGGUAGGGAGGCGUUAACUACAGAAGAAGCACCGGCUAACUCCGUGCCAGCAGCCGCGGUAAUUC